GACGAACGCUGGCGGCGUGCCUAAUACAUGCAAGUCGAACGCUUCUUUCCUCCCGAGUGCUUGCACUCAAUUGGUAAGAGGAGUGGCGGACGGGUGAGUAACACGUUGGUAACGUACCCAUCAGAGGGGGAUAACACUUGGAAACAGGUGCUAAUACCGCAUAACAGUUUAUGCCGCAUGGCAUAAGAGUGAAAGGCGCUUUCGGGUGUCGCUGAUGGAUGGACCCGCGGUGCAUUAGCUAGUUGGUGAGGUAACGGCUCACCAAGGCCACGAUGCAUAGCCGACCUGAGAGGGUGAUCGGCCACACUGGGACUGAGACACGGCCCAGACUCCUACGGGAGGCAGCAGUAGGGAAUCUUCGGCAAUGGAGGAAAGUCUGACAGAGCAACGCCGCGUGAGUGAAGAAGGUUUUCGGAUCGUAAAACUCUGUUGUUAGAGAAGAACAAGGGCGUUAGUAACUGAACGUCUACUGACGGUAUCUAACCAGAAAGCCACGGCUAACUACGUG
rnacentral:rRNA from 1 species